UCUUCUCGUAGAAACAGAAAAAUCGACUUUUCUUAAGCUUCAAUGGCUUCUAAGCUCUUUUCGGCCAAACUUUCUUCAGGUUGGAUCCAUGAAGAAAUGGUGUAACCAUUCAUAGAGGUGGAUCUUUUCUUCUGUUAAGAUCUGAAAUUCUGAAAUCUGCAGAAAAUCAACCUUACUCGAUGGUGGUUUGAUGGUGCUCGAUGCCAGCUCGAUGAGACCUUCAAAAUCAUGAUUUUUCAUGAAAAAAUGACUUUGCUCGGUGGUGGUUCGAUGGUAGCUCGAUAGUGGUUCGAUGGUGCUCGAUGAGACCUUCAAAAUCAUGAUUUUUCAUGAAAAAAUGACUUUGCUCGAUUGUGGUUCAAUGGCAGCUCGAUAGUGGCUCGAUAGUGCUCGAUGUAAUUCUUGCAAGAGACAUAAUUUUUCACUCGGGUGUCCGUUUGGGGUGAUUUUUUUUU